rfam:Flavobacterium sp. KMS contig001, whole genome shotgun sequence.
UCCUAGCCCGGAUAGCAGCGGAAAUCCUUUAUUGUUUUCCUUUAAAACAAUAAAGAUUAUAGCGAAUAGCCGGAUUAGCU